UACGUAGGUGACCAGCGUUGUCCGGAUUUACUGGGCGUAAAGAGCGCGCAGGCGGUCGUUCAAGUCGAGUGUGAAAGCCCCCGGCUCAACUGGGGAGGGUCACUCGAUACUGAUCGACUUGAAGGCAGGAGAGGGAAGCGGAAUUCCCGGUGUAGUGGUGAAAUGCGUAGAUAUCGGGAGGAACACCAGGGGCGAAGGCGGCUUCCUGGCCUGUUCUUGACGCUGAGGCGCGAAAGCUAGGGGAGCAAACGGG
rnacentral:rRNA from 1 species